rnacentral:rRNA from 1 species
AUUCCAGCUCCAAUGGCGUAUAUCAAAGUUGUUGCGGUAAAAAAGCUCGUAGUUGGAUUUCUGUUGAGGGCGACCGGUCCAUACAACGUAUGCGUAUCUGGCUCGGCCUCGGCAUCCUCUCGAUAGACGUUUCUGCGCUUGACUGCGUGGAGCGGAUCUCGGGACUUUUACUUUGAGGAAAUUAGAGUGUUCACGGCAGGCUAUCGCCAGAAUACAUUAGCAUGGAAUAAUACUAUAGGAUCUUGAUUCUAUUUUGUUGGUUUCUAGAAUUGAGAUAAUGAUUAAUAGGGACAAUUGGGGGCAUUCGUAUCAACACGUCAGAGGUGGAAUUCUUGGAUUGUGUUGCGACGAACUACUGCGAAAGCAUUUGCCAAGGAUGUUUUCAUUA